rnacentral:rRNA from 1 species
GUCUAUGGCUAUACCACCCUGGACGGGCCCGAUCUCCUCUGAUCUCGGAAGCUAAGCAGGCUCGGGCUUGGUCAGUAUUUGGAUGGGAGAAUAAUGACAAGGAGAAAUGACGGUACAUG